rnacentral:rRNA from 1 species
ACCCAAUAGAUACCCUGGUAGUCCACGCCCUAAACGAUGAUUACUCGACAUACGCGAUAUACAGUGUGUGUCUGAGCGAAAGCAUUAAGUAAUCCACCUGGGAAGUACGUCCGCAAGGAUGAAACUCAAAGGAAUUGACGGGGGUCCGCACAAGCGGUGGAGUAUGUGGUUUAAUUCGAUGAUACGCGAGGAACCUUACCUGGGCUAGAAUGCUAUCUGCCCGUACCUGAAAGGGUAUUUUGUAGCAAUACACAGAUAGUAAGGUGCUGCAUGGCUGUCGUCAGCUCGUGCCGUGAGGUGUUGGGUUAAGUCCCGCAACGAGCGCAACCCCCGAUCUUCAGUUGCCAGCACGUAAUGGUGGGAACUCUGAAGAAACUGCCGUCGUAAGACGCGAGGAAGGAGGGGAUGAUGUCAAGUCAUCAUGGCCUUUAUGCCCAGGGCUACACACGUACUACAAUGGGAGGGACAAAGGCAGCGACCUGGUAACAGGAAGCGAAUCUCAAAACCGUACUUCUCAGUUCAG